CUGGCUUUUGUCUGGACUUUUUUUUUCCCGGGUCCACCGCGAAGACGAGAGAACAUUGUCCAGAUCGGCGAAGCUUUCGCCCCGAGACGACCAGAUGCGGAGAACGAGCGGAACGCCUGUUUCGCGAGCAGCUCGCGAACUUGGCACGGCAGGAGCACGUACGUCGUGCCAAAAAUAGCGUCGGCGUGGCGGUUAAGCCGUUAGAGGAGCGAACGUUUUUGCGUCGCGACGCCGCCGCCGCCGUCGUCGCGCUGUCCGGGGAAACCCGUCGAGGACGCAACGCCACGACGCGGCAUGACGUUGCACGCUGCUCCGUCGACAGAGAACGAAAAGUCGAAUGUUUACUAUUCUCGGCUACAAAAAGAAAUCUCGACAGAAUGCAACAGGCUGUAACUUCCGCGGGAAUAACCUUAACGAGACGAUGCCGAAGGCACUUUACACGGCUCGAAGUCUUUAGUUUGCGGAGAUUUUUUUCAAUAAUGUUUAUUUGUUUUUUAAGACGUUACACGAAUAUGUAAAUGGGGCUGCGACAACUACCAGCAUUCUUAAGUCGCGAUACUGUCUUGUCAAUUUGUACUGCGAGAACGAAAAAUUAUAUGCAAAUAUGCAGCGUUUAUAUCA